CUGGUUGAGUUGGGGGUCAUAAACUCCCAAAUCAAAACACUUCAGCCUCAGCACUAUUCUGUGAAGCACAGGAUAGAGAUAAUGAAGUAGAGAAACCUGAACCCUAUUUCUGAUGAGUCUGAAACUAAAUACAUGGCUCUUAUUUGAGUUGCCUGAAUUGAGCAUUAAAGAUACAUUACUGAAGAGGGGAAAAAAAUGACAAGGUUAAAAAAAAAGACUGUCAUUAAAUUCUUCAGAGUAUCUUUUGUCCCAAAAAUAAUGCUUUUAUCAGAAAAAUGAUCCGUGCCAAUGAUUUUGCGACAGUUGCAAGGAAAAGAAAUAUGAAGGGGAGCUGUUGAGAACACCCUUUAAGAACAUGACACCUCCAGUGGCCAUUUGCCAAGCGCCAUUGAAGCACAGGGAUGGAGCGAGCGGACGGAGGGAUGUGGAUGGUGAAAUGGGGGGGUUGGGCAUCUGGUGCCAGCCUGACUGGAGCUGUCAUCACAGUGAAAAUCAAUUCAACUCCAUCCAGAACUACGUCUAUAACCGUGGGAAUAUAUAACCACCAUUCCCUCCAAAUUUCCCCUCUCCUCACCCUUUCAGAAAACGUCAAGAGAAACCUUAGCCUCUACAACCUGGCGGCAGGAGGGUCAGCUUCAGACCUUUCUGACGACUGGUAGCACUUCAGUCUCUUUCAUUCCCCUCCUCCCUCCUUUCUUGUCUUUCUCCCAUUGGAUAUCCCCCUCCUUUCUUUUUCAUUGUUGUGUAGUUAAAGUGACACAACAGAAUGGCGGAGUCACAUUAAAUGUGCUUUAUUUCCAUUCUUAACGCUUCUUAACGGAAAAGUAAUUGUGUUGUUCUUGAACAGGUGCUGCUUCUCUUCGAACUGAUGGACAUUGGGCAAACAUUGAUUGUGUGUUACCAAGAGUCUGAAUGUUAUUUGUUAAACGUAACUUGGAAAUGAUAUGAAGGAACCAUAGCUCUUUUGUGGUGUUUAUUAAACCACAGUGGGACUACCUUCUUUAUGGACCUCCCGAAAAAGUAGCACUAUGAAGGGCCUGUAGAUAUGAAGUAAAUAGAUAAUCACUUCUCCACUACCAGUCUGUAAUGUAAACUUGAUCUUUUAUUUUAUUUUAUUUUUUAUGUUUGAAUAUGCAUCACCAUGGCCCAAGUUUUUUUUUUUUUUUUUUUGUGUAUUUGUUGUCCUGAAUCUUCCUCUACUAAAAGAGAUUAACAACGCAGGCAGUUUGGAGCCAAUGAAAUCAAGCCUCUUAAAGAACAAAAUAAAGUACAUCAACUUCCAUUGAAGGCUAGCAGAGGUUAGAAGGUAAAUAAGUAUGGCAGAGGGUUUAGAGAUGCAUGGGUGGGGGGGUUGGUUGAUAUUAAUGUUUUGUGAUAAACAGAAAUGAUCCAGACUUUAAGAAAGUCAAUAUCUUUCCGCUCAGCACAGGGAAGCUCAGCACUUAAACCCCAGGGCCUUACGGCUGCUCUAUUCACACCAAGAGGAGUUUAGAGGACUCACAAAUACCCGCCACACUCCUCACUAAGCAGUAAAUAAAAACAUAAACCCUUAUCACAGCCCUAAGACCACAACAUAUCAACAGAAAAAGAAUGAAAGAUAGAAAGAGGUUGAAAAAAACGUGAUAGAAGUGGUCUAAGAGUGGUGCACACAGAUGCACAAAGUUCAAACUAACUUUACGGUUCCAAUGUAGGAUUCUUUAAUUCACCAUAACCAAAUAAAGUUAUUAUUAAUUUUAUUUAAUUUUUUUCCCGUUCUUUGUUGUUUUCUUCUUUUUAUUUUUAUUAGGAUAUUUCUCACCGCCUUAAAUCAAGUUGAUAAAUUUAAUACUACUAUUUAAAUAAGCUCUAUAAGGCUAUAAGCGUUUGGAAAUUAAAGACAUGCUUUGUGACUUCAUUGAGCUUUAGAGGUUUCAACGCACUGCUGUUUUCUGGUGACUGUCAGUCGCUUGCUCUUCUUGUAUGUAUGCACGUAUGCACACUCCGAGUAUAUUAUAGUAAAUAAACGUAAAAAAAAAAAAAAAAAAAAAUUCCAUUCAUAGCACUUCUUCUUUGCUUUUUCCACUAAUAUGUACUAAUGGAUCAUGUUUGGAGCUCUGAGACAGGCAAUAAUUCUUUUAGUGACACCACUUUUUUGUAUUAUUACUAUUAUAGUUUUUUUUUUUAUUAGUAUUCCUUGCCAUUUUUUUGUAUUGUGAUUGUAAGUCCCAUUGUGAUUGUAAGUUGAGGUGCUAAUGUGUUACUUCCCCUACUAUUGAGAGAGAGAGAGAGAAUCCAACAUUAUUCCUCCAAAAUAAACUGUAACCAUAUAAUUUUAAUGGUAUAGUCACUUGCAUAUUUUAGAGCUCUACAAUAUUGUGCAUCUUGAAAAACAACAACAACAACAACAACAAAACAAAACAAAGGAAACCAUGUCAGUUUUCUUUCUCUAUAAUAUUCUACAGUAUGUGAUCGGGAACAUUAUAAUGUCCAACAUUCCUAAAUGAAUAAUAUUGCUAUUUUAAAGGAGGUGCAUAUGAGGCUAGGGGAUAAUAUUGCGAUGUAUAUGCUUUUAACAAGUAGAUGACUUGUUAUUGUAUAUAAGGAUUAUUCCUAGUCAUUAUUUAUUGUUAUACAUCUGUUUGGCAAAAGAAGAGACAAGAAGUAUUCUGAUGAACUAUCAAGAAGUCGUUUUAUUUCAGCAAAGGCUGUUUUCUUUCUGCUGUUUAGAAGUUUUAAUCUCUUUUGAAGCAGUAAAUUUUUAUCCAGUGUUUUACACAAUAAAACCUCUACCUCUUAAAUGA